AUUGAACGCUGGCGGCAGGCCUAACACAUGCAAGUCGAGCGGAUGAAGAGAGCUUGCUCUCUGAUUCAGCGGCGGACGGGUGAGUAAUGCCUAGGAAUCUGCCUGGUAGUGGGGGACAACGUUUCGAAAGGAACGCUAAUACCGCAUACGUCCUACGGGAGAAAGUGGGGGAUCUUCGGACCUCACGCUAUCAGAUGAGCCUAGGUACGAUUAGCUAGUUGGUGAGGUAAAGGCUCACCAAGGCGACGAUCGUUAACUGGUCUGAGAGGAUGAUCAGUCACACUGGAACUGAGACACGGUCCAGACUCCUACGGGAGGCAGCAGUGGGGAAUAUUGGACAAUGGGCGAAAGCCUGAUCCAGCCAUGCCGCGUGUGUGAAGAAGGUCUUCGGAUUGUAAAGCACUUUAAGUUGGGAGGAAGGGCAGUAAGUUACUACCUUGCUGUUUUGACGUUACCGACAGAAUAAGCACCGGCUAACUUCGUGCCAGCCGCCGCAGUAAAAC
rnacentral:rRNA from 1 species